GAUGAACGCUGGCGGCGUGCCUAAUACAUGCAAGUCGAGCGAACAGACGAGGAGCUUGCUCCUCUGGCGUUAGCGGCGGACGGGUGAGUAACACGUGGAUAACCUACCUAUAAGACUGGGAUAACUUCGGGAAACCGGAGCUAAUACCGGAUAAUAUAUUGAACCGCAUGGUUCAAUAGUGAAAGACGGUUUUGCUGUCACUUAUAGAUGGAUCCGCGCCGCAUUAGCUAGUUGGUAAGGCAACGGCUUACCAAGGCGACGAUGCGUAGCCGACCUGAGAGGGUGAUCGGCCACACUGGAACUGAGACACGGUCCAGACUCCUACGGGAGGCAGCAGUAGGGAAUCUUCCGCAAUGGGCGAAAGCCUGACGGAGCAACGCCGCGUGAGUGAUGAAGGUCUUCGGAUCGUAAAACUCUGUUAUUAGGGAAGAACAAAUGUGUAAGUAACUAUGCACGUCUUGACGGUACCUAAUCAGAAAGCCACGGCUAACUACGUG
rnacentral:rRNA from 1 species